AUAUCAAUAAGCGGAGGAAAAGAAACCAACCGGGAUUGCCUCAGUAACGGCGAGUGAAGCGGCAACAGCUCAAAUUUGAAAUCCGGCUCCUUCGGGGUCCGAGUUGUAAUUUGUAGAAGAUGCUUUGGGUGUGGCCCUGGUGUAAGUUCCUUGGAACAGGACGUCAUAGAGGGUGAGAAUCCCGUACGUGGCUGGUGGCCUACGCCCGUGUAAAGCUUUUUCGACGAGUCGAGUUGUUUGGGAAUGCAGCUCAAAAUGGGUGGUAUAUUUCAUCUAAAGCUAAAUAUUGGCCAGAGACCGAUAGCGCACAAGUA
rnacentral:rRNA from 1 species